UAAUAAUAGAAUUCCGCGUGCGCGGGGGGGAGUUGGCCUAAUGCCCCUGUGGGCUCGGCCUGCCGCCGCCGCGGGGGCCUCUGACACUGCGCGCCAGGCCAGGUUCCGGAAGACAGUCUGCGCGGGCGGGGAGCGCGGGCCCGGGAGGCCCUCGCGCGCCAGGCUGCCCGCAGCAGGGGGCUCGCACGCAGCCUUCCUCCGCCACCCUCCGGGAGCUGGGGUGCGGGCUAGGACGAGGUGGGGGGCGGAGGCGCCGAGCGCAGGACGGCGCAGGAGCCGGGCGCGACGUCGCACGCGGGGAGCCAGGUGAAUGGAAAGGAGGCCUGGCCCCUAGGGACAGGAUCUGAACCUGGUGAAGGAGCCAACACCCCCAGCAUUGCAGGACAAAUUUUGGAUCAUCCGUGCUUUCUACUGAAAGACUUGCAAUCCAAAGGGGAAAUGAUGGAAGAACCUGCAGGUAUUGAGUAUGGGGAAGUCGUUCUGGCUUAUCCAUGGUUGAAGGUAAACUUCACCGACCAGAGCAGCCUGUUCUGUGGCUUUUAGACAAGCCUUGUAUGCCUGCUGUGGCCGUUGAGUGAAGGGAUGCGUUCAAAAGUCAAAGUGGAGCGGCUGAGGUCCAGAUGUCCAACGUGGCUGUCAUAGACGUGAUUUUGGACAUGCUCUUGUGUUAUUGAAAACCUGAGUUUUCUGAAGAUUAUUGCAGACCAGGAGAAAACCACCGGUGGGUGUGGCGUCAUCUCUGAAUGCGGUCACUGUGUGUAUUUUGCUCAGUUGCCACCACUGCCCCUGUGCCAGGCCCGUCAGGGGUCUUUCGUCUCGUCCCUAGUCUAAGGAGGGAACUCCAGUGGAGGCUGAGCAGCCUCGCUGGCCUCACUGGAAGUUGAGUCUAGUUGCUGGGGCCACAGCAAAGGGCCCUGGAAUUUCAGCUUCAGCAUCAGUCCUUCCAAUGAAUAUUCAGGACUGAUUCCCUCUGGACCUCCAUGAAAAAUCGACCCAGCCUCUGGGAGGAUGACUGACCAUGGGGGGAGAGAC
rnacentral:lncRNA from 1 species